AGUAAAAAGGGUUUGUGGACAAGGCUGCUGCCACUGCAGGGAAUAAUUCCACGGAGAGGUGGCCCCAGGAAUUACCAGCGUUCGAGGUGGCGCUCCAGCCAGGCCACCCAAAUGCCCCUUGGCCAGACACAGAGGUCGCCCACUGCGCUUUGUCCCUGGGCAUAAAACCAUUCCUUAAAUUUGCUCCGCGCGGCUCUCAGACACAAGUUGAACCUCCAUAUCUGGUUGCCACCAAAAAGCUGUAGCUGGGCCCACGGAGGACAAUUUAAAAGCUCAAGGCCAACUUUUUCCUUCAAAAGGUGCCACACACCCUGUUAAUUACAGGUGCCUCCUGGACACAGUAUCUUCGGCAGGAAUUAAAUUUGAGUUCUGGAAAGCGGACAGGGAAGAUCCUAGACAUAGGUGUGUCCUUGGAAGGAAGGACUCAGCAUUCUCAAUAUUAACAAGGGGAGAGGAGGGGAGCCAAGCUAGGUUUUAUGUCCCAGGUUGUCUGACUAAAGGACGCCAGGACACUGUGAGGGCGAUAGCACUAUCAGAUUUCUAACGAUCCCCAAAGUUGCGAGUUUAAUUCUUUCCACCACAAGAUCGCUCGUGUCUAAUGAUGUCGGACACCUGCAAAAUGACGUCGAAAUCGGUGGCUCAUCGGGUGGCAUUGUUGGUCUAACGUGCCAGGAUGCUAGCGAAGCGAGCGGGGCCGCCCUGCCGCUGCCUCCCGAGGGCGAGUUGGCGCAUCGAUUUCACCCCACGCUCUCAGCCCCGCUGCCGAACACCAUUUAGGCCAAGAUCGGGUAUAAUGGGAAACACUAUCAGCAGACAAUUACCCUUUCAGAGGAUUCACUUCUCCUCACAGACACUGUUAUUUGAGAAAUAGGAUCAUUUGAUUUCAUAUUGCACUAAAUAACACCCAGCCGGUUCAAAUUGCCAGCUUCUUAAAAACCGCCCAUUGGAAUAAAUUGCAGCGGCCUCUUUUGCUUUUCAGGGCAACAUGAUGGGCAGCGGGCAGAACUCAUAAAAACAACUACAAAGCCAGCCCUGAGCCAUCGCUAUUGGUGGGAACAGCUCUGCCACCCCGCAGGCAAAGGCAUUCGGCCGCCGGGUUCCCUGCGACCGCCCCCUUCGCCCGCCAACUUAGAGGUGGUUCAACCUCUUGGCUUUGGAGUGAAAAUAUACAGCCCUGGCCGCCCAGAGAAAGCGCUUCGGGACUCGCGGAGCGUUAGUGUCUAGCGGAGAAAGAUGAGUGGGUGCGCAAGACAUUUACGUGCCUUGCGUGGAGACCGCCGGGGGUGUGGGGCUCCGUGGCCGGGUGUGCGCCCUCCAGUUCGCGGUCUUGGCUUCCCAAGCUAGAGCUGCCACUGCCGCCGAGCUCCGCAACCCCGUGCGCCCGCCAGGCCUGCGGGCCGCAGCGCCCCUCUCUGACCUCAGCCAGGAGCCGUGGCUCAGGGGUCCGACUGGGGACAGAAAGGAGAAAGAAUCUCGCUGUGGCUUCCGCGAGGAGUCCAGAGGGAGAGGGGACAGGGAGGAGGGGGGCGAGCUCGAGUUCGCUGCACCUCCACCGCAGGUAUUUCAGAAAGAAUUAAUCUUUUUGAAGUUGGUCACAGCUGCGAUUUAACUGACACCCUGUUCAACCGGGUGACAAUUGUUCAGCUUGAUGGGGGCGACUCACCAGCCACCCUUCAUAGAAAACAAAAUCUGACUCCCUGGUUCCUGGUUCCUUUGUACCAAGGGGCAGGGUGAACGUAAGACGGCCUGGGCCAUGGCGAAGCUAUCGAAGUCUUUAUUCCAUUUGUGUUAAUGUGCUUCACCAAAGCCGAAUUAGACUCUCUCUACUCCAGGUAAAUUGAAGGCCGCAUCCGGAGACACCUGUGCACCCCGAUUCGGGGCGUGAGAUAGAAGGACCCUUUUAGUGCGUCCUGAAGACCAGGAGGAAGUUAGCCUGGGCUUUGGGGGGACGGGGGGCUGGGGGCAGGGGAUGGGGGUAGCCUUUCCCUUCCCAGGCGCUGGGAGGAGCUAGGGAGCCGGGGGUUGUGGGCCUGCCUCCAGAGGGAAGGCUUCAGGCGCCAAGGGAGUGAAAACCAAAAGCGUGGGCAACCUAAGCUGGAUGAUGGGGGACUGAGUGUGCCAGCCCACCGCACUGGGCCUUGUCCUACAAACCCUAAGCCGCUCCGCUUCUUAGCAUUUCACCAGGUCACCCAUCUACCCAGAAAGUGAAAGCGCCGCCUCAAAGGCCCAAGUGUACCCAAGCCAAACCCCGGGCCAUCUCGGGCCGCAGGUCUCCGGACCUGCCCCCCGGACCUGGGAGGAGGCCGCGAUGCGCGGCUUCCUACGCCGCCAGUUCUGGCCCCUCAUAUGCGGAUCCAGGGCAGCCCCGGUGUGCCCACCGGAGACCAGGGAGAGCCCGGGGCCUUGCUCCAUCCAGGUCUCUUCCCCAAGGUUCUCGCGUCCUCACUCCACGCGCAAUGCACUCGGCCCCAGCCCCCCAACCUCCUCCCCGAGGGGACGCAGCCAAAGAACUUUCUCUCAUCAAAAAUCACGCCCAAACGCGACAGCCUUUCAAGCAGGCAGGAACAAGGUUAUUAAAUUCGAAAGAGCCAGAAAACACAUCUUGACUGGCUCCAAUCUUCUCUGCCCGCGGGAACCGAACAGCAGAGCUACGGGUGCAACGGCCGCACCGCCGUCUUAGCGACUCUGACUUGGGCGGGAGCCCCAGAGCUGGCGGAGGCUGCUGCCGGGCGGCCUUUGCCCCUGGGCCCCCACAGAGGACUCCAGGGACGCCGUGGGUGGGCCUUUCCCUCUGCCAGCACUUAUUUCGGCUCAGAGCAGGGGCAGUGCGUCAAAGAUCCGCCUUCAGCACGGGAUGGGGAUGUCUGAGUCCGCCCUGUUCCGGCCAGGGAGCCCUGGGUGAGGGCGGUGAGAAUCAGUAGUCGCAGCUCCCGCUGGCUCCGGCCUCCGGGGUUGGCUGUGGCUGGCAGGUGACCCCGUCCUCAUCCUUCCCGCUCCACCCGGGUUCACGGCCGCAGCGCGGGCCCCAGCGCUCCCCUCCCUCGCGCGCUGUCCCUCCACGUUGCAGCGUUUACCGGCGCGUUUUGUUCCCCUCCGGAUUCCGGGCCGAGGGGCUGUAACCGUGCUCUCCUCCGACGGGCGCUAAUCAAGUAAUUUCCCCGUCCCAGCCCCAUCAAAUUGCUCUUUAGCUGUUGAACCGCGGAGUUUUGCUCGCCUUUUCACAUGCUAAUCACGCCCAUUCAGCGGCUCUCGGUGGGGCUGUUUGUCGCGGGAUAAAUCUCCUUGUUUGCCGGCUGCAUGAUUAAUUGAUAUUGUUGUCUGGCUUUUGUGGGGGCCGAGAGGAGCUGAAAGGCGGCGCGUCGUGACUACGCCGGGGGCCUCUGGCGACUUGUCGGGCUGCUGAGGUCCCGGCGAGGUCUAGCCAAGGCUGAUGACAUUAUGCGCCCGAUUUGGUUUCCUUAUUAGAAAGAUGAUGAAAGACUCUGAGACCCCAGUUUUACAACCCACCACCGGGGCGCGGAAGCCGCACAGAGCUGAAAUCACCAGCGCAGACAAAGCGCCGGCAUUUGCUCAAUUCAGAGAGGAGUGGGUGUCACUUGUCCACGCAGGAGACAAUUAAAUGCAUUUCGGCCCACCCGGGAUUUCAGUAGGAGUUGGACAUGGGCGUGCUUGUUUUUUCCAACAAAUAAUAAGUCGGCUUUUUGUUUACUUUUUGCUUUUUUGGUUGGGGGUUGUAAAAAGGGUUAAAACCCAUGGAAGAAAAGUAAAAGGAAGCCAGAGCUCCGAUGGAGACCUUGUAGGCAGCUGUCCAGGAAAGCAUCGCGAAGGCGCUUCCAAGGUUGACCUGGGUUUGCGAAGUGCGCGGGACUCAUAGCGAAUCACGCGCGGACCUGAGCGCACAGAAUCGCGAAGGCCCGCGUCCACCUGCAGGCCAGUGUUUCAUCUGCCACCGCCAGUCUCUGCUUAUGGCCGUAUUUCCCGCUGCCCGCAGGUGUGCAGUCAAACCAACAAAUUCCUGCGCCCUCCGCACCCCUCCCGCCCUUUCCCUGGAGUCCUGGGGUUUUAUCCUCGACGGGCUACCCUGAAAACUUGGAGAUUCAAUUAAAUAAUUCCAGUUACACGCUGCUCCUACUGCCGGCUUAUUGCAAAUAUUUCCUUUUUCGAGUUCUAAAAAAAAAAAAAAAAAAAAAGGAAAGAGGAGAAAAGAAACUGUCGCCUUCGCUUUCACUGCGCGCGGGGUAAUUGAUAGGCGCCAUCGGAGGUCAGAAUUUGCAUAAGAAUUAAGAGCAGUAAAUUAAUUUAAUAUUCCAUGCACAUCUCCAAUUAUUCCCGGAGACCUUUGUCUCCGCGGCUGCCAGAGAGGGGAUUCAGCUGCUCUUCAGCCAAACAACAUCUGUGCGGUUAAUAAUUUGAUAAACAGCUCAUACAAAUAGUUUCUGAAUUAUCUGGCAGCCCGAUGACUAUUCAUUGGAAACGUUUUGGCAGGGUGUCCCUGCAUUCUCUGAGGGCCUCAGGCAUCAGCACAGACAAAUGUCUUCUUAUCUUUUAAACAUCAGCAGAGGACAAUGCGCAAAAUAAGUCAUUAUCAUUAAGCAAUAACCCAGCCCCUUAAAAAUAAUAAACAAAAACAAAACAACGCCUGGGUCAUCAGGGUUGUCUAUUCUGUCUAUUAAACACUCUGAGAUGGACAGACAUUCUGGUUGGGGACUGAGUGGAGGGGAACGUUGGUGUUGGGGAGGAACUGGACAGGGUGGAGGCUGCUUUUCUUUACUAUCAUGGAUUGAAACAGCGAUUGGACUUGUGCAUGGAAAUAUCUACAAGAUGAGGGAGAGUCACGGUGGUUCCCACCUGAAGGGGAACCAGGUAGGUGGGUGGGAGGGAGACCAAGUUUUCUUUGUAUUGCUUCUUGUACCUUUCAGUGUUAUCUCUGUCUAAAUUUAUUACUCAUUGCACAAAUAAAUACCUAAGAAACAAGUUGAGUUCUUAGACAGAAGGAGAGAGUUGUUUUGACUGGACAUGGGGCCUUACCUGACUUCUCUCCAUCUUUCCUCCUGACCACACUCUGUCCUUCCUACCUUCAUCCUGGGCCAACACGACCCCAUCCUCAUAGCAGCUUCCCAUAGAGCACAAGUACGUCAGCUACAACAUUGAGUUGGCCCGGAUUUU
rnacentral:lncRNA from 1 species